ACAGGUAUACCGAGUUGGCUCUAUACAAAUUUGGGCGCAUGUACAUGGCAAAAGGCUGCGCAUGCCUCCUCAAGGUCCUACUGACAAUAGCGUGGAAGCCAACUUUCAUCUCCUGAGAAUGCUUGGAACACUUUCAUGAAGUAGACUUGUAGGCCCAAAAAGUAUCAUGAUCUGGACAAAAGAGAGAAAAGUCUUGAACUUCUAGGUUUGCAAUAUGCCAGUCAACAAAUCGAGCUUGUAUCAACAUAAAAAGCAUCAAGAUAGUAGGCAACAGCCACCAUUUGUCAUCUUCCCUGCUGUAAAUAUGUUUCAAAAAUAACAUAAGCACUCACGAAAAUAAUCCACAUCUAGAAUAUAUCAAAGCUAUAUAUAAACCAAAAAAGCUAUGCGUAAAUAACUUAAAUGAUUACGUAAGUUAAUUGUUUAUUACGUAAGCUAAUUGUGUACAUGUAUUUCGUAAAACCUAUUGGAUAUUUGUCUCUUCGUAUGACGCAAGGUAUUUGAUUUCAAAAGACACUGCCAAAAAAUUUAUAAGGGAGUACACUAAACAAGUAGAGGUGCUAAAAAGGGUACAAUUAAUUAUAUCUGCAGUUUGGGAAAGGACUUGGGUCACAUAUUUUUGAGAAAAUGAACUUGCAUAAAAUUUGAAAAGAGAAUGAGACAAUAUCCUCCGUGAAUAUAUACAUAAACAUAACUUGAUGAAUUCAGGAACUUACUCAGAAAAUCCAAGACAAUUCAUAAAGUUGAUCUUUUCUUCUUUUUUUUCCCUUGUUUUUUUUUUGCUAAAUCAAAAUAACUUGAUCUUAAACUGUUUAUUAAUGUUAUUUUACUUUUACUUUUCCUUGCUAAUAAAUUCAAUUUCCCUUUGUUGGCAGUAAUAUAAAUUUAUAAUCAUAGAAGAUGAAACCUAGGACACUGAGAUUCUUCGUUAUACCAGCAAACUGUUGUAUCCCCUACAAUACUCCGAUUCUCGGGGAUUUUUAGAGAUUCUCUCCUCCUUUAUAACUUAUGUGUUUCGAAAUAUCUAUGAUUCUCUUAAUUUGCAUAACUAAGAUUGUGAACAUAUCUUAUCAACCAUGUUCUCUAGUUUUUUAUAAAAACUAACAUUUGGUUCUGUUAGGAAUAGAAAUACAAAAUCAAUAGUACUUAACAGUUCUGGGAAUGACUUGCUUUUAUUGAACAAUCCUAGGCUUAUAAAUAGCCUUUUACAAACUUAACAGAAUGAGAUAAAAUAGCUCACGUUCUCAACUACUCAACAUGAUGACUGCAACUAGAAAAAUCAGGAAACACUAACCAAGUACCCUAAAGACUAGGACUUAUCUAAGACUUAUUCAAACAGAAAAACAACAACUUUCUCUUCAUUCCCUCCCUUAAACUAGUUACCAACUACAACUAGUUUAAUUCAGGAACUUGACAGACUCCCAACUGACGUCAAAACCUCUGAAAUGCAUCCACUGUGAGGGGCUUUGUCAUCACAUCUGCUAUUUGAUCUUGUGUUCCACAAUAAACUAAUUCAACUACUCCUUCUCGUGUGAGGUCACGAAGAAAAUGGAAACGCACAUCAAUGUGCUUGCUUCGACCAUGUAACACAGGAUUUUUUGACAACUUAAUUGUGGAACUGUUAUCACAAAGAAUUGUAGUACACUUACUUUCUUCCAAACUCAGCUUUUCUAUUAUUCUCUUCAUCCAAAUAGCUUGACUAACACAAGCAGCUGCAGCCACAAACUCUGCUUCUGUGGUUGAAAGUGUGACUAUAGGUUGCUUUCUUGAGGACCAGGCAACAGCUCCAGAUCCCAACAUGAAAACAUAGCCUGAUGUACUUUUUCUAUCUUCUAUGUCUCCCGCAUAGUCACUAUCUGCAUAUCCAACAAGAUCAGCAUAUCCAACCAGAUCUUCACAUCCUCCCUUCUUGUAGAAAACUCCAAGUCCAAUAGUUCCUUUCAAGUACCUCAGUAUCCUCUUGGCUUCCAUCAAAUGAAACUCAGUUGGUUUGGCCAUGUACCUGCUAAUCAAGCUUACUGCAAAAAUUAAAUCUGGCCUUGUAGCUGUUAAGUACAUGAGGCAUCCCACCAUCUGCUUAAACAAAGUCUCAUCAACACGAACCCCAUUCUCAUCUUUAAAAAGCUUACAACCUGGAACAAUGGGAUUAUGAACUGGUUUACUGUUUUCCAUCCUAAACCUUUUCAGUACCUCCAAAGCAUACUUCCUCUGACAAAUAUAGAUCCUAUCUGACCUUUGCAAAACUUUUAUGCCAAGAAAAAACCUCAUUCUCCCCAAAUCAGUCAUAUCAAACUCUCUCAACAUGGAAUUCUUAAACUCAGCAAACAUCAAUUCAUCAUUGCCAGUAAAUAUUAAAUCAUCAACAUAUAAACUGACAAUGAGAAUCUUACCUCCCUUAUUUAUCUUAAUGAACAAAGUAUAAUCACUAUAGCAUUUCUCGAACCCUUCAUUUAUGAAAUGUCCUUCAAUACGACUGAACCAAGCUCGUGGAGCUUGUUUCAGUCCAUAUAGGGCUUUCUUCAACCUGUAAACUUUCUGAGGACUAUUCUCCAGCUCAUAACCCUUCGGCUGCUCCAUAUACACUUCUCUUUAAGUUCCCCAUACAAAAAGGCAGAUUUGACAUCAAGUUGAUAGAGAGUCCACCCUUUUUGAGCUGCUAGAGCCACAAUCAUUCUCACUGUGUCCAUUCUCGUAAUUGGUGCAAAUACUUCUGUGUAGUCUAUCCCUUGCUGUUGCACAUAGCCCUUUUCCACCAAACGAGCCUUCAACUUGUCCACUUCUCCAUUCUCCUUGAGUUUGGUUUUAUAAACCCACUUCACUCCAAUCUUCUUUGCGCCUUUAGGAAGAUUAGUGAGUUCCCAUGUGUUGUUCCUCUUUAUAGCCUGCAUCUCCAUGUCCAUAGUUGUCCUCCAUUUGUUAUGCUUCACUGCCUCCUCAAAAUACACUGGAUCUGCUGAAGCAAACAAAGCCAAAUUGACAUUUGCAUCUUCUUCUUCCGACUCCUCUGAAAGUCCUUCCCCAGUUACGUAAUCUUUCAUCCACCCUGGAGGCCCUCUGUUUCUUCCUUCUUCAGAACUAGAUGAUUCUCCUCCAUUUUCACCAUUUUGAGGAAUACUAACCGGUUCAGCGACUCUUUCUUCUUCCUCAUUCACUGCAUUCACGGCCUCAUUAUCUUCUUCAUCAUCCCAUUCCAAAUCAGCCAUUAUGUGUUUUUCAUAACUAUUAUCCCAGCUCCAAGACUUAUCUUCCUCAAAUACUACAUCUCUGCUAACUACAAUCUUCCUUGCAAUUGGAUCAUAGAGUCUAUAUGCCUUAGACUCUUCACUUACUCCCAAUAACACACAAGCAAGGCUCUUUGCAUCUAGUUUUUUUCUUUUCACAUCAGGAACAUGUACAUGUGCCACACAUCCAAAAACUCUAAAGUACUCAACCGAGGGUCUGCUUCCACUCCAGGCUUCCUCAGGUGUUUGAUUCUUCACAGCCAAUGUAGGACUCCGAUUCAGAACAUGUAUUAUCCAGUUCACUGCCUCAGGCCAGAAAGUCUUCGGAAUCCUCCUUUCAGAGAGCAUGCAUCGAACCAUGUUCAUCACAGUUCAAUUUUUCCUUUUCGCUACUCCGUUGUGCUUUGGAGUAUACGCUGCAGUCAAUUGCCUCUUGAUGCCAUGCUCUAUACAGAACUCAUUGAACUCAAGUGAUGUGAAUUCUCCUCCUCGAUCUGUUCUCAGACAUUUAAUAUAUCCUCCUACUUCUUUCUCAACACAACUCUUAAAACGUUUGAACAUGUUUAAUGCUUCAGAAUUCUCCACUAAAAAAUAAGUCCAUGUUUUUCUAGUAAAGUCGUCAAUAAAGCAUAUAAUGUACCUCUUUUUACUAUUAGAGAUGGGAGAGAUUGGUCCGCAGAGAUCUGCAUGAACAAGCUGAAGCUUUUCUGUAGCCCUCCAAUUGCUCUUCUUUGGGAUUGGAUCUCUGUGUUGUUUUCCAAUCAUGCAGUUUGCACACACUGUUGUUGGAGUCCUGAACUGUGGUAACCCAUGCACCAUCUUUUUAAAUUGAAGAAUCCUCAACCCCUUGUAGCUCAAAUGUCCAUAACGACAAUGCCAUAAGUGUGUCAUAUCCUGUGUGGAGGUGUAGAGGCAAGCUGGCUUCUGUGGAAGUGAUGUUCCCAGCAACACAAACAUCCGAUUUGCUAACAUCUUGGUCUGUAGUAUGAGCCCUUUCUCUGGAUGAUAAAUCUUGAGCAUUCCAUGUUGGAUGAGAAUCGCCAACCCCUUUUCUUAUAAUUGACCAAUGCUCAACAGAUUGUUUUUUAGUUCAGGUACAAAAAAUACUUCACUAAUGACAUGUGUAAAGCCACUUACUUUCAAUCUCACAUUGCCUUUUCCUAACACAUCCAUCCUUGUGUUAUUUCCCAACUUUACCUUCUGCCUGAAGUCCUCAUUAAGAUCAACGAACAAACUCUUGUCACCACACAUGUGGUUGCUACAUCCAGAGUCUAAGAACCAGACAUCUCCCCUUUGAGCACCGGUCAUCUCCACAUAUGACAUGAGCAGCAUCUCUUCUUCUUCUUCUAGUUCAGCAUAGUUGGCUUCUUUAUCCCGGUUUGAACAUUCAGAUUGAAAGUGUCUAAGAUUGUGGCACUUAAAGCAUUCCACUGUUGCUUUAUUGUAGGGCUGACGUCUCCCUCUUCCUCUGCCUCUGUACGCACCUCGACCCCGUCCUCUUGCACCAAAUCUGUCUUCACAACUGAUCUUAAGUGCUUGUUCUUCUCCUAUAUGUCGCUGGAAUUUUUGUUCAUGAACAAUCAGAGAACUCUACAGCUCAUCAAUGGAAAGUUGAUCGAUGUCUUUGGACUCAUCAAUCGAGCAAACAACAUAAUUGAACUUCUCACUCAGUGAUCUGAGAAUUUUCUCCACCACUGUGACAUCUUACAUCUGUUCCCCAUAUGUUACUGACACUGCAGGCUGCUUUCUCACCUACCACCUGAAAAGGUGUUUUGUCCCUCUUAUCCAUAGUACUAUCAUUAGCUUCUUCAAUACGCUUCUUUGUUGCAUACUAAGGAUAUUUCAUAUAUUCUGGGACUGAUGAGCAUUGCAGCAUCUGGGAUCUACUCCUCGUAUGUUGAAUUAACAACUCAUGAGGCUUGACGUUUUCUGACAUGAGAUAGAUGAUGCUCUACGAUAGGAUCGUGAUUUUCUACGGUUAAGAUCGUAGUGGCUUUGAUUUGCAUACUACGAUGCUAUCAGUUGAGAACACUACGAUUUCUCUUAAACUUUCAUGCACUACGAUCUUCUCUUUCUCGUGUUGUUGACUCUACGUUCCUGAGACCACACUACGAUCGUUGACUUAUAAACUUCACGUUUCCUUCAGCACACUACGAUCGUUGACUUAUAAACUUCACGUUUCCUUCAGCACACUACGAUCGUGGAGUUAGCUUGGUGAACGUUGGGACUACUCUACGAUUUUUGAAGAGUCCCCUUUCAAGUCAGGCACACUACGAUCUUCAGGCUCUACGUUUUCUGCCUUGACUUCUACAAUGUUGAUCAGAUUGAUGCACUACGAUUUCUUCAAGACUAAUCUAUUACAUCUCAAGAUCAGCCUAACAAUUUUGAACUUUCUAUCUAUACAUUCUAAAACAGGAUGAUACACGUUGAAAGCUUAGAUCAACCUAACAAUUUUGAUCUAUCACUAAGUCCUUGUACAAAUAUUCUUUAAAGGACCUUACAAAUAAUCAUGAGCACAUGCAUUAAAACAUCAAAUCAUAAUAUGUAUUCUCCCAACACGUGACUUUGGAAGUGAUUUGGAGACAAAUUGAGCAUUAUUUGGACUUAAAGUGGAGGGGCAAAGUUGUAAUUAAGUGAGCAGAAUUUUAAUAAAGUCAUUAUCGUGGUGAUCAAACAAUAUUUUAAUACUCUUAUUUAUGAAAGGAAAGAAAUAAGAAGAAUCCUAUAAGGAGAAGAAAGGGAUGUGCAAGUCUAAUCCAAUGAAAGAAAGAAAAGUUCAUCUAGAAGAUCUCUUUGAAGGAAAUUGAUUGCCACUGAAAAGUUGAACCUAUAUGUAAAAGAAUUAAUAUCUUAUGCUUAUAAAUAGAGGGAUUACCAAGAGAUUUUAGAAGACUUGUAUACAAACUUCUCUUUCUAUUGUUCUUUGGUGUUUUUCAUGGACAUGUGUGGCGAAAUUCUCGUUCUUGGUUUAAGGAGACGGAAGUCUUGAAUUAUUACAGUGUGAGAUCUAAUUGGUUUUAAUUGUUCGAUUAUUAUUUUAAGUAUUGAUUAUUUUUAUAUCCUUAAAUUCUAUGAUUGAUAUAUUUAAUUGUUAGGUUGCACACUAGUUAUUUAUUCGUUGAAAUCUACUUCAAAAUUAAAUAUUAAAUUCGUAAUUGUUUGGUCUCUCUAAUUUGUGAAGCAACUAAGGUUAAAAAUUUACUACAGGUAUAAGAUUAUUAUAUCUUAGGAAGAAUAAUUAACUAAAUUAAAUGCAACCGCUUGUGCUUGUGUUAUAUAGCUUAAUCAGAUUUUCUAUCUCUCAAAGUUGCUAUCAGAUUAAACUUUCAACGUUUGUCUAAAGUUGUUUAGUAGUUAGGAUUAUUUAGAUCACUUGUUUCUAUCUAACUAAAAUUAAGGCAAGAUACAGAAGUAAUUUCAACGGUGAAUAUUCAAAAUACUAAUUGUUUAUACUUGUAUCAAUGAUCAAUGUAAAUUUCUGAAGGUAAAAGUUGACUUUAUCCAAGGCUCGUUUCAUGAUUUAUUUCGUUAUAUUAUUUUGCGUUAUUUAAUUUUUAAUUUACUUUUACCAACACCACUUAAAAUCCCCCAAUUCGAUUCAGAAAACAUAAAACUAUACUAAUUAUUCUCUAAGUUUUAAUUUUAUUACAGCACACCAAUUUCAUCCUCCCAGUUAGGCUGGAGCUGUUGUCAUCUACCAUAACCAUCCUUUUAAGCACAAUUUUGAAACCCGACCCAGACCGGUCAGUUCAACCAAUAAAUUGGUUUUUGUUUUUUGUUCCAAAAUUUUUUUAGUACUAAAAUUAACUACUUUUACAUUUAGUAAUAUUAUAACUCAACUUUAUUAUGUUUUAUUUAAUAAAAAAUAAAUUUUUUAAAUUUUUUAUUAAUUACUAAUAAUAUAUAUUUUUUAUAUUUAUGAUGUCACCGGUUCACUAAUUUAACCAAUGACUCGACCUGAUUAAACCAGUGAUUCAUCCACCCGAUAACUUUUUUAAUUCGAUGAUGACGAAUUCAAAUUAGAAAACAUUGUUUGAGGUGAUCAAAAUCAUAUCAAUUAUAUUACUAACCACAGACAAAAUUUUGUACUUUUGACUAUAUUUGCAAUAUGAAUAUCUUCAUCCAACAAUUUAAACAAAAUUCGGCCAAAUGAAGAAAACUUCAUUUACACUCUAAAAGCUGAAGAUGUGAUGAACUAGUUGUAUUAUUGUAUACUUCAGUUGUAUCGAAAAAAGUACAAGAAAAUUCUAAUCUAUAUUUAUCAACAAUGUGCCCUUUCUCUCUCACCUCUAUAUAUAUCUCCCUCUCUCUAUGUCUCUCUCUAUCUGCCUUCCAACUACAGUCACUCAAGAGUUGUGGUCCCACUAUGUCUAAAUAGAAGAAAACUGCACAGGUAUACCGAAUUGGCUCUAUACAAAUUUGGACGCAUGUACAUGGCAAAAGGCUGCGCAUGCCUCCUCAAGGUCCUGCUGGCAACAGCGUGGAAGCCAACUUUCAUCUCCUGAGAAUGCUUGGAACACUUUCAUGAAGUAGACUCGUAGGCCCAAAAAGUAUCAGGAUCUGGACAGAAGAGAGAAAAGUCUUGAACUUCUA
rnacentral:lncRNA from 1 species